CUGGGAGGACCAUCUCCUAAGGCUAAAUACUCUCUAGUGACCGAUAGUGAACCAGUACCGUGAGGGAAAGGUGAAAAGCACCCCGGAAGGGGAGUGAAAUAGAACCUGAAACCGUGUGCUUACAAGUAGUCAGAGCCCGUUAAUGGGUGAUGGCGUGCCUUUUGUAGAAUGAACCGGCGAGUUACGAUUUGAUGCAAGGUUAAGCAGUAAAUGUGGAGCCGUAGCGAAAGCGAGUCUGAAUAGGGCGUUUAGUAUUUGGUCGUAGACCCGAAACCAGGUGAUCUACCCUUGGUCAGGUUGAAGUUCAGGUAACACUGAAUGGAGGACCGAACCGACUUACGUUGAAAAGUGAGCGGAUGAACUGAGGGUAGCGGAGAAAUUCCAAUCGAACCUGGAGAUAGCUGGUUCUCUCCGAAAUAGCUUUAGGGCUAGCCUCAAGUGAUGAUUAUUGGAGGUAGAGCACUGUUUGGACGAGGGGCCCCUCUCGGGUUACCGAAUUCAGACAAACUCCGAAUGCCAAUUAAUUUAACUUGGGAGUCAGAACAUGGGUGAUAAGGUCCGUGUUCGAAAGGGAAACAGCCCAGACCACCAGCUAAGGUCCCAAAAUAUAUGUUAAGUGGAAAAGGAUGUGGCGUUGCCCAGACAACUAGGAUGUUGGCUUAGAAGCAGCCAUCAUUUAAAGAGUGCGUAAUAGCUCACUAGUCGAGUGACACUGCGCCGAAAAUGUACCGGGGCUAAACAUAUUACCGAAGCUGUGGAUUGUCCUUUGGACAAUGGUAGGAGAGCGUUCUAAGGGCGUUGAAGCAUGAUCGUAAGGACAUGUGGAGCGCUUAGAAGUGAGAAUGCCGGUGUGAGUAGCGAAAGACGGGUGAGAAUCCCGUCCACCGAUUGACUAAGGUUUCCAGAGGAAGGCUCGUCCGCUCUGGGUUAGUCGGGUCCUAAGCUGAGGCCGACAGGCGUAGGCGAUGGAUAACAGGUUGAUAUUCCUGUACCACCUAUAAUCGUUUUAAUCGAUGGGGGGACGCAGUAGGAUAGGCGAAGCGUGCGAUUGGAUUGCACGUCUAAGCAGUAAGGCUGAGUAUUAGGCAAAUCCGGUACUCGUUAAGGCUGAGCUGUGAUGGGGA
rnacentral:rRNA from 1 species